CCAGCAGCCGCGGUAAUUCCAGCUCCAAUAGCGUAUAUUAAAGUUGUUGCAGUUAAAAAGCUCGUAGUCGGAUUUCGGGUUGGAGCGUUCGGUCUGCCGUUGGGUAGCACUGUUCUGCUGCAUCCUUUUUGCGUGAGGCCUUGAUCUGCUUGAUUGUGGGUUUUGGUGCUCUGCACAUUUACUUUGAGAAAAUCAGAGUGUUCAAAGCAGGCCUUUGCCAUUGUAUGUGUUAGCAUGGGAUAAUGGAAUAGGACCUUGGUGCUAUUUUGUUGGUUUCGAACACCGAGGUAAUGAUUAAUAGGGAUAGUCAGGGGCACUCGUAUUCCGUAGAGAGAGGUGAAAUUCUUAGACCCACGGAAGACG
rnacentral:rRNA from 1 species